rnacentral:rRNA from 1 species
AACGAACGCUGGCGGCAUGCCUAACACAUGCAAGUCGAACGAGACCUUCGGGUCUAGUGGCGCACGGGUGCGUAACGCGUGGGAACCUGCCCUUAGGUUCGGAAUAACUCCCCGAAAGGGGUGCUAAUACCGGAUAAUGUCUUCGGACCAAAGAUUUAUCGCCUUUGGAUGGGCCCGCGUUGGAUUAGCUAGUUGGUAGGGUAAAAGCCUACCAAGGCGACGAUCCAUAGCUGGUCUGAGAGGAUGAUCAGCCACACUGGGACUGAGACACGGCCCAGACUCCUACGGGAGGCAGCAGUGGGGAAUAUUGGACAAUGGGCGGAAGCCUGAUCCAGCAAUGCCGCGUGAGUGAUGAAGGCCUUAGGGUUGUAAAGCUCUUUUACCCGGGAUGAUAAUGACAGUACCGGGAGAAUAAGCCCCGGCUAACUCCGUG